CCUACGGGUGGCAGCAGUGAGGAAUAUUGGUCAAUGGACGAGAGUCUGAACCAGCCAAGUAGCGUGAAGGAUGACUGCCCUAUGGGUUGUAAACUUCUUUUAUAAAGGAAUAAAACGAGGCACGUGUGCCUUUUUGCAUGUACUUUAUUAAUAAGGAUCGGCUAACUCCGUGCCAGCAGCCGCGGUAAUACGGAGGAUCCGAGCGUUAUCCGGAUUUAUUGGGUUUAAAGGGAGCGUAGAUGGGUUGUUAAGUCAGUUGUGAAAGUUUGCGGCUCAACCGUAAAAUUGCAAUUGAUACUGGCAGUCGUGAGUACAGUUGAGGUAGGCGGAAUUCGUGGUGUAGCGGUGAAAUGCUUAGAUAUCACGAAGAACCCCGAUUGCGAAGGCAGCUUACUAAACUGUGACUGACAUUGAUGCUCGAAAGUGUGGGUAUCAAACAGGAUUAGAUACCCGAGUAGUC
rnacentral:rRNA from 1 species